CAAGCCCCGCCAAUUUGUUUCUAGUCUCUCCAGUUUUUUCUUUUUUGCAGCUGGUGUAAGACUUUAUCCCGCAUUAAUUUGCAGCCAUGCCUCCUUUCCCUGCUCUG